rnacentral:pre_miRNA from 1 species
UUGUUUGCGGGUGUAGCACCAUCAAGAUUCACAUGCAAAUGCACGGUGGUGAUAUCAACCAAAGUUCUUUGAAAGUGAGAAUCUUGAUGAUGCUGCAUCGGCAAUAA